GCCCGUCGAAAUGGACGUCUUUGACAGUGUUGCCACAAUUUAUCUCGACUUCGUGAUUUUGCUGUAAUUUUGCAAAUCAGAGACUUCAGGAGUUCACUGGUCUAUCUAAUGCAAUAGCCAAUCAAGGAGCAACCAGGAUAACUGAAGGAGUCUGGAUAUGAUCUGCAGUUGCAGAUGAACUUAUUGACCAAGUUCUCCUGGAAGCCUUUGACAACAUGGAGGAAAGUUGGGACAGCAUAGAGGAAGCAGGAGACUACAAAACAGAUGCAGCUAGACAUUUACCAAGCUGUUCAUGUCAGCAAAUCACUGAACACAAGGGAACAGAAGUGGGAGAAGAGAUCCUGACUGACAAGACAUAUAAGAGCAUGACAGCAUUUAAGGUGAAGAAUGAUGAAGGCUCUGCUCCUUUUUCGGACAACCACAGUCAUUCAAAGAUCAUGGCUCAAGAUCUUCAACGAAAGGCGGCAGAGAGGAGGGCAACAGAGGUCACCCACGAUAAGUGUCCUUCUUUCUCAGAAAGAUCAUGCCCUGUGGGCCUAACAAAUGUUCAGGAAAUAUGUAUUUUGUCUUCUGGAUUUGAUGUAAAAAAGAUCAGAGUGAGAGAUUCUGCUGCAGUGGAGGUUGGCACUAUAGUUUCUCCCCCCCCCUUUUCAAGCAGUCUGUCAAAAAACAUAAAGGGAAAUGUCACACUUUCACCCACAGAGAAGAUUGCUGUGACUCAAGGGCUAUCAGCCUCUUCUCUAAGUGACCACGCACGAUAUUCAAGAGAGGUCGUGGAUGAGAAGACCUAUGCUGAUGUUUCCCAUCAAACGUUACCACUUGCAGAUACCAAGAAAGGAAAAGAGAAAAUGUCCAUUACCCUUUUGCCUGUGAUGGAAAAGCAACAAAAGCGAAAAGCUGGUCGGCCAUAUAAGAAGAAAACUCUAGUGAAAAUGGCUAAACUUUUAGCAAUUGGCCAAGAACGGUAUUCCGAUGCCACAGAAAUACACAGGGAUACUCUAACACCCUCACGCAAACAAACACAAGAGAAGAAAAAGGAUGAAAUGUUUCCCCCAACUACCUCAAGUGACACAUGGUUUGGAUGCAAUUCAACAUCUGAUUCUUCAAACCACCUUACUAUUGCACAUUCAGAUGACAUAAUUUCUGCAUCUCAAAUAGCUGGGCCAAGUAUUUCUAUGGAAUUGAACCAACCCUCCAGGAUACAGAAAACUUCAAAGACCACACAAAAAGAAGAAUUCAAAAUAACAGAAGUGUCGGCGCUGAAAUUGACCACUGUCACAAAGGGUCAAUAUUCUCCUAUAGAACAAGCUCUGACAUACAACACCUUGGUGCCAUCUGAGAAUGCAUUGAAAGUACAAAAGAGAACUGGAAGAAAUAAAACGAUGAUAUCCAAAGGAGGAAAUAGAAGAACUCAGGCAUUCAAAAGAAACAGAAUGAAUCCGAGCAGCCUCUUCACCCCCCAGUCACAGAGUAGCAAUGCUACACCCCAAGAAAAAAAUGAUUUGGGACUCUCUCAAGAUGAGACUCCACUGCAGUCAUCAGAUAUAAAAAUGGAGCCCAAAUACUUGUCAGACACUUCUGUUUUGGAUGUAACGAACAAUGUGAAGGAACACCAAAAAAGAGAACCUCCCACCAAAAACUUUACAGAAGGGAGUAUUAAAAGUCCUGGUAUAAUGUCAAAAUGCUUUGACUUGUCUAUCACUCAAAAAAAUCAGGGGGCACGAAGUGACAUGAAGAGGGAAAUCAAAGAUAUUGUAACUGCUAACAUAUCAGCUGUAGGAAACCAGGGGGAAAUGACUCUAAGAACUCAAGAGCUCUCAAGACUAAAGAGUAUUGAGGAUGUGCUCAAAUUGAAGCGGAAAGCUGGUCGACCAUUUAAGAAAAAUAGGUUUAAAAUGGAUAAGCUGGUAGCGAUAGCACAGGAAGGCAGAACUAAUGAUCCAGAGAAUAGUGGCAUGACUAAAGAGUGUGUUCCAGAAUUCCCGGCAUAUAACCCCCUAAAGUCAAAAGUAAAGAAGGAAAAGACUGACACAAAAACCUUGGCAUCAAAUUCACCUACAAGCCCCUCAAGAAGAUCCAACAGAACAUGUAAAACUACCCCAAAAACUGUUCAAAAGAUGCAAGUCCUCACACACACGCUCGCCCAAUCCGUUUUAUCAGUUCCAUCCAAUCUCAUUGAACUCAAAUCAGAGGACACAACUCUUAUCUCCUCAACGGUCUCUCCAAUUAUUUUAUGUAGUGCAGAGAUUUUCCCUCAACAGGAAAGCCACAGAUGUGGAAAACCCCCGAAGAAAAACACAAAAGUUAACAAACACAUGACCACUGCAGUCCCACAUCCUCCAAUAUUUGCAGUAGUUUCCAAGGCCCAUGCUGAGAUUGUCUCUACAGGGAAUGGUAAAGAAGCAAAGAAAGACAUUGGAUCCAAAAGAAAAUACAAAAGGGUGCCUGGAACUCGUGGUGUAUCAGAAUUGCUGUGUACAAAUGGAAUUCCUCAGGGAGAUAUACAUACCCAAACUAAUAGGGAUGAGGUGUAUUCCAAGACUUCAGCCCCAACUGUGCCACAUUCCCAGAACACACGGAAGCGUGAGGUUAAAAAUAAAAAAGGUACAGAAAAGGCAGCCGUCCCAUUAUCUGAUGAAACUGUCCUUCCUGUUUCAGAUUGCCAGGUGCAAAGUCACAGUGCAUCUCAGGAAACGCCUUUACUGCCAUCAAAGAUUAAGACACAAUCUGACACAUUAUACCUGACACCUAGAACGGUUAGGAAGAAAAAUACAAAGACGUGUAAGGAAAUUAAAAAAACUUCACCGAAAGUUGAGAAAGCACAGGUGCCAUCUCUGGAUCCUUCCCUUGGAGUGGAACAUAGAUGUCAUGAUGUGCCACAAGUGGAUCAUAUAAGACAAAUGGAAGCAGUGAUAGAGUCCGUGAUGGAGGAUCUCCACAAACCACUCAAACCUAAUAGACAACAAAAAAAAUUUAAAGAAGAGACCAGUAAUAUUUCUGCAUUGGAACAAACAGCAUUUCUCGCCUCGGAUAACCUGUUGGAACAGCAUAACCAUUGUACGUUACCUCAAUAUUAUUUUCUGACAAAAUCAGGCUUGAAACAUGCCAAACCCAAAAUGUCAACAAAUAUUAAGUCAAAAGCAUGCAGUAAAGGGAAACUAUUUAAAAAUGCUAAGAAAGCUGCUGUAAUAACUUCAGAUCCUUCUAUUGGAGCAGAAAAUGAAUGUCUUGAAAUGCCUUCCCACUUUACCCAAGCAGAGAAAGGAGGAAAGGGAGAUGUAAAAACCAAUAAAUGUGUAGGAAAGCAUGAAAAGGAAGCAGUGAUAUCAGUGACCGGUGAUCAUUUGGAAACAGCGGCCCACAAACCACAACGUAAGGGGCCAAGAAAGAAGCUAAAAGAAGAGGACAGCAGUGUUUCCAAACCAGAACAAGUAGAAUCUACUACUUCAGAUAGCCAGCUAAGACAGCAUGACCACAAUGCAUCACAAGUUUCUUUGCUAGUAUCGGCGGCAAAGACAGAAUCAGGAAUAGAGCAUAUCAUGCCAGAAAUGGAAAUGACAAAUAAGCCAAAAACAUGCAGGAAAAGGAAAAUACUGUCCAAACAAAGCUCAAAGAUCACUGAAACUCCAACCCCACCAAGUUCAAAACCAUCUCUUGGAGUGGAAUAUAGAUAUUCUGAAAUGGCUACCCCUUUCACACAUGUGGAUCAGGUUCAGAAUAUUCUUGAUACUCCUAAAGGCUCCAAAGCGAGUAAUGGAAAUACUGGAUCAAACCAUCCAAUAUCCAAUGUCAGACAUUCCAGACGGCCCUCCAAAUCGAAUUCACAUAUCACAACUGACUUGAUGCAAGAUCAAGCAAUUUUAUCAGUUGCAUCACAUCCCACUAAUCAACCUACCAGUCCUGUAUCAACAACCGUGUCCUCAACUGCAGCACAAGGACAGAUUACUGAAUUAGUGAGUUCUCUUUGUACAGAUAAAAGGCCGCAUAAAAUAGGGAGGCCUCCGAAGAAGAAAAAGUCUCAGAGACCAAAAAUAACAGGUAUUGAUAAGAAUAUCACAGAUGACAACAAAGUAUGUGUUAAAUUCUUAUCAGCAUUUGUAAAAGAGGAACUAAUUGAGGAAGAGAAAAGUCUAGAAAAUAGGGGAAAAGAAAAGAACGGCAAAAGGAAGAAAGGCAAAAUUCUCCAAACAGACAAUGUGAAGGUGAAAGAUGGCAACGCAUUAGCAGAUGACAAAUUAGUUUUACAAGUCCCUAUAGAUGAUGCAGGGGACUCUAUAUCUAUUGCAAUAGACCCAAUCAGUGCUGUAAUUCCCAAACAUAAAAAAGGUGGUCGUAUUGCCACGGGUAAAAGAGUGCAAAAAAUUGCAUCCACCCCCAACAUCCCCAGUGACCAGCAAUGCAUGAAUAUGUCCCCAGAAGAAAUGUCUCUGUGUCUCAGCAAUAUAUCAGAAAAACACAGAAAACGAAAAGUUGACAGCAGCAGUGCUGAUUUUGUUAAUGCAGAUAUAAAUGUUCUAAAUCUUAAAGAUGACCUUAGUGAUAGAUCUGAAAUACUGGACUCAUCCUUACUAGGGACUCAGAGGGUGAAGAACAAGGGUAAGAUCAAAUCCAAGACAAUUACAGAAGAACAGACAGUGGCCACAUCAGUGGUAAAAGAGAUGGUGUGGCUAGAUUUACAGACCACCAUAGCAGCACUGAAAAAGAAACGAGGUCGGCCAUUCAAGAAAAGUACCUUGAUGAGAAUGGCAAAACAGCGGUCAUGUGAACAGCAGAAGUCAAACGCUAGCAGACAACUUUCCGUGAACAAGACACAGAGCUGCAAAUCAAUGGGAACUUCUAAGGGAGGGAAAAUGCACAAAUUCAACCCAAUGUCAACAACUUCAAGAAGGCACACUAGAGCAUCCGUGGCAAUGAAGAAUGAAGACCUUGUUCUUAAACAACAGCAAGACGACAUAUGGGAGAUCACCGAUGUGUCCAGCAACAUUUUCUUCCCAAUUGUGACUAAUUCCCGCAGUAUUUCAGUGCAAGAAAUCGAAACUUCGGAAACUAUUUUCUCUGUUGAUGCAGGGGCGACACAAGGAAUCCAGCAAGUUGAGUCUACCCCAUUAACAACCCCUCUCACAAAAUUACCUCAUAAAGUGACUGGAGCGAAGAAGAGACUCAGGAGAAAUAAAACUGGAUGGGCUACAAAAGUGAAAUCCAAACGACCUCUCUCCAAAGUGAACUGCGGGGGUACGCUUGAGGUGUUUGUUCAGUCUUCCAUUGACAACACUGGACUCUCAUUCAACUCUAGCCUCUGUAAUUCGUUAACAGAAAAUGACAUAUUGGAAAGUGUUGAACAAGAGAAAGAAUGUAGAGCACAUGUGAAAGCAGUAACGAACUACAAUCGAGUUUGUGUGGAGAAGGAGAUCAACUGUGGCGAUCAACCCCUAACAGCUCGUGCUAAAUUGCAGCAUUCAAGUGUACUCCUACACAAUCUUAAGACAAGGAAACCUAUGUCAUGUCAUUUCUGCAGUCGCUCAUUCCGUCACAUAACCGCAUACACAAUUCACAAGCGCAUUCACACAGGUGAGAAGCCUUACAGUUGCCAGAAGUGCGGCAAGAGCUUUGCUCAUCUCUCCAAACUCAAAUCACACUCAAACAUCCACAAACAACAUGGGCCCAUUCAAUGCCCAUGUUGCAUCACUCAGUCUCCAAAUAAAGAUGACUUGAUUGAUCAUUUCAAGAUCCACAUGAAGGGUACCAAGAGGUUCAGAUUGAUUAAUAAAACAAGAAGAGACAAAGAAAUCCAGAUUCACCCUUACACUGAUUACGUAGAGUCCCCAGUCACUUAUAACGGCAGGAAAUUCCUUAGAUGCUCCACUUGUUUUAAAUAUUUUUUCAGUAAGACCACAUUGAAGCUGCACCUACAAACACACAGUGGAGUGAGGCGUUUCACCUGCAAAGUCUGUGGCAAGAUGUUUCUCACGUUCUCAAGUUUCAAUGCACAUGAAAAAACACACUGGCCUGUUAAACCGUAUGCCUGCUCUGUGUGUGGAAAAGGCUUUGUUCUGCUUAGGGAGCUCAAAACCCACUCUCAUAUGCACUCAGGAGAGAUGCCUUUCUUCUGUAACCACUGUGGUCAGGCCUUUAGCGACUUCUCAUCCUUGCGCACACAUCAAGUCUCCAAAGUGUGUUUUGAGGCUACAGACAAAGGGGAUGGAAACAAGGUUGACAUUGAGGGGUUCCUGGUGGAGCAAAGGGCUGAUGGGCAGAUUAAUACCCCGAUGUACUUUAAAUGUCAGAUUUGCAAACAACUUAAUCGUCACUGGUGUCAGUACAUUCUUCAUCUGCAAACGCACACUAAUAACAAGCCAAACCUUUGUGAGAUCUGUGGACAACGGUAUGAGGUUCCUGAAUUAUGUGUUCAUUGUAAAGUGUGCUGCAAAUCAAGUGGAGAGGAGAGGGCAUGCAAUUCGUCCUUGUCAGAGGUCUGGCAUGAACCCCAAUCUCUGCAAAAUCCGAUGCAUGUGACUGAAAUUGAUUUUCUGUACAACGAUAAUCAGGAAAUGCUAUCUACUGAUGACCAACAUCCUAAAUGCAAGGAGCCUGAGCCCCUGCCACCUCUGGAAACUAUGGAGGAGUAUUCCUCAGAUGUGCUUCCACAAAACCCCAAACCUGCUUACCAGAUCCCAGGUAAUGGGUUGGAGAUAAAUCGACCUUCUCCCUCAAACUCCAUGUGUGCAAGUUCUGCCAUAUUGUCCCUCUCUGUAAUGAGCCUUAAUUCAGUACGUGUGGUUCAACAGCCUUCAGGUUUUCACUCUCGUUUGCAGACCCAUGCUCCUUGUGACAGAUAUCCUCGUGGACAAUGUGGAAAAUCCUUUAACCGGUGGAAUAAGCUCUGGUUGCAUCAGGGACGACACAGAGAAAAACGCUGUAGCUUCUCAUGCACUCGGUGCAAUUUAGAGUUUCGCUUCUUAGGCUCCUACAGGGAGCACAUGCAGGAACAUGCAGCGCAGAGACCCUAUGUUUGUCCGUUAUGUCCCAAAACCUAUAUCACGGAAGAAGACUUAAAUACCCAUCUGUGCGGAAAUCACCAGCCGUGUGAAAGCCUGAAAUGUGACACGUGUGAAAAGGGUUUCACCAGUUUCAGAAAUUUGGAGAGACAUCGUCUGUUACACAGAGCUGCUAGCUCGCACUAUUGUCUCCCUUGCAAGCUCCCAUUUCCUAGUUCCCUAGCCUUAAAGAAUCACUUGAAGGCUCACAAAGCCCGCCCUGUUAUCCCUCUCCCUGAAGGGCCAUUGGAACCACUUCUAUUUCCCUAUCACUGUAGAAAAUGUAAUGCCAGAUUUACAACCACAGACUUGCUCCAAGCCCAUCAGGUUUGCCAUCUUAUAGGGGGGAAGAAAACAUAUAGCAGUUCAGCAAAUGUAGUUUCUGCUUCCCUGACCUCCAAGCUCUCAAACAAACCAAGAGCGAGAGUCACCCCUCUAUCCCCUACGAUAGUACCUAGUCUUCUUCUGUCAAAGAAAAGGAACAUGUAUAGGUAUCCUCACCCUGAUCGUCUCUAUGUCGUCCCUAAAAUAUCCUCACAGCCACCGGUCAUUGUUUCGGACACAGAAGAAGAGCCCCAAGAGAUUCUAAACUUUAGCUUAUCCUCAGUCCACGACUCGCCCUGUAACACUGUGUCCCUUGAACAUGAAGGGCCAACCAGCCCUAGCAAUAAUUGUUGUGAGGCAAACAACUCGGAUCUACCUCAGUGCUCAUGCCCCUCAUGUGUCCUUAUUUAUGAACCUACUCAAUGUAUGCCAAAAACAGACACCCCACACAUGCCGACUCAUGAACCACCAUGUCCCUUGGAUAAAGGUCAUCAGAAUGUACCACCUCAAAGAUGGAAAAAGUCUAAGGGUAAUGAUGAUGCUUUCUUUAGAGCCUCAACAACAUUUGUGAUAUCAAGGGGCAAAAAACAGCGGAUUGGCUUUGAGUGUGCUGAUUGUUGGGUAAGAUUUAGUGACGUCUCGGAGCUACAUGAGCAUUACUUACAUCAUGCCAGGGGGGUGAAGUGAAAAUCAAUAUGUUUUUUUUCCACUAAUGGACAUUUGCAUGAAAGUAUUCAGACCGAUUUACUUUUUCCAAAUUUUGUUACGUUACAGCCUUAUUCUAAAAUGUAUUUUUGCAAAUGUAUGAAAUAUCACAUUUACAAGUAUUCAGACCUUUUACUCAGUACUUUGUUGAAGCACCUUUGGCAUUGGUUACAGCCUUGAGUCUUCUUGGGUAUGACACUACAAGCUUGGCACACCUGUAUUUGGGGAGUUUCUCCCAUUUUUCUUUGCAGAUCCUCUCAUACUCUGUCAGGUUGGAUGGGGAGCGUCACUGCACAGCUAUUUUCAGGUCUCUCCAGAGAUGUUCUAUCGGGUUCAAGUCUGGGCUCUGGCUGGGUCACUCAAGGAUAUUCAGAGACUUGUCCCAAAGCCACUCCUGUGUUGUCUUGGCUGUGUGCUUAGGGCCGUCCUGUUGGGGUGAAGGUUCUUCCAAUAUAAGGUCCUGAGCGUUCUGGAUCAGGUUUUCAUCAAGGAUCUCUCUGUACUUUGCUCCGAUCAUCUUUCCCUUGAUCCUGACUAGUCUCCCAGUCCCUUCCGCUGAAAAUCAUCCCCACAGCAUGACGCUGCCACCGCCAUGCUUCACCAUAUGGAUGGUGCCAGAUUUCCUCCAGAUGUGAUUCUUGUCAUUCAGGCCAAAGAGUUCAAUCAUGGUUUCAUCAGACAAGAGAAGCUUGAUUAUCAUGGUCUGAGUCCUUUAGGUGCCUUUUGGCAAACUCCAAAUGGUCUGUCAUGUGCCUUUUACUGAGAAGUGGCUUCCGUCUGGCCACUCUAACAUAAAGGCCUGAUUGGUGGAGUGCUGCAGAGAUGUUUGUUCUUCUGGAAGGUUCUCCCAUCUCCACAGAGGAACUCUUGAGCUCUGUCAGAGUGACCAUCGGGUUCUUGGUCACCUCCCUAACCAAGGCCCUUCUCCCCUGAUUGCUCAGUUUGGCCGGGUGGCCAGCUCUAGGAAAAGUCUUGGUGGUUCCAAACUUCUUCCAUUUAAGAAUGAUGGAGGCCACUGUGUUCUUCGGGAACUUCAAUGCUGCAGACAUUUUUUGGUGUCCUUUCCUAGAUCUGUGCCUCGACACAAUCCUGUCUCGGAGCUCUACGAACAAUUUCUUUGACCUCGUGGCUUGGAUUUCCCGCGGACAAGCAUUGUCAACUGUGGGACCUAAUAUAGACAGGUGUGUGCCUUUCCAAAUCAUGUCCAAUCAAUUGAAUUUACUACAGGUGGACUCCAAGUUGUAGAAAGAUCUCAAAGAUGAGCAAUUGAAACAGAAUGCACCUGAGCUCAAUUUUGAGUCUCAUAGCAAAGGGUCUGAAUACUUGUGAAAAUAUUGCUGUUUUUUUAUUACAUUUGCAAACAUUUCUAAAAACCUGUUUCGCUUUGUCAUUAUGGGGUAUUGUGUGUACAUUGAUGAGGAAAAUGUUUUGUUUAAUCCAUUUUAAAAUAAAUGUGGAAAAAGUCCAGGACUGAAUACUUUCCGAAUGGACUGUAUAUCAUUGUUUUUGAUGAGUACUAAAUAAGUUUCUGAGUUAACCAUGGUUUUCUUCAUAGCUAUAGCAAUGGUUAAAUUAAUAAUUCACUCCAAACCACUAUUUCCUAUGAUUUUCAUUAUUAAAUAACGCCAAUAUGUAUUUUCGUUGUUAUGUUAAGGUAGGAAGCAACUUGAAAAUUGUUGCAGAAAUACUUUGGAGCUUAAGUCAACUACAGUUCUCUCCAGGCAGGAGGGCUGGCAAGCUUGCUAGAAAAUAUAGCUAUACACAAUAUUACUAAAGUCAAUAUCAGCAUGUGAAGUAGCUAGUUAGCUGUAAAAUCUCAAACACUGCACUAUCAAUUUUAGAGUCACAAUCUCUACCAUGUUCAACCUGGUAGAGAUUUUGUCUUGCUCAAAACAGUGAGUGAGGUUGUGAAUACAACACAAUGGACCUGUGCUGCUAAGGUCCAUUGGUACGUAGUUGGAGGAAAGGAUAUUGAUCUGACGGUGCACUGUGUACUUGAACACAAGUCUAAGAAGUGGUAGAUAUCCUAGUGUUUACCUGUGGCGGCAGGUAGCCUAAUAGUUAGAGCGUUGGGCCAGUAACUGAAAGGUUGCUGGAUUAAAUCCCUGAGCUGACAAGAAAAAUAUGUGUUGUUCUGCCCCUGAACAAGGCAGUUAACCCACUGUUCCCCGGUAGGCCGUCAUUGUAAAUAAGAAUUUGUUCUUAAAUAAAGUAAAAAAUAAAUAAAGAUAUGUUCUAUGUGCGGAAUUUCUAUACUUCACGUUCUUAAUUUUUGUUUUUGGUCUUUGUUUUUUUUUUUACACCAGCUUCAAACAGCUGAAAAUACAAUACCUUUUUGUUACUAAAAAGCGGUUUGGAUGGUACAAUAAUUUUCUACACUUGCUUGUUUUGUCACAAACUUCAAUUAUGCGAAAUCUAAAACAAAUUUCAAUCAGGAAAUAGCAAAGCAACUUCUGCAUAUUGAUAUUUUUUAAAGGCGUUAUGAAAUAUGAUAAGUCUUUUUGUAAAUAGGGAUUAACAAACCAUCACCAAAUUGACAGGAGUUUCACUCCUGGAGUGAAUUAUCCAUUUAACGUUGAUAUUAACCUUUGUUUAUUUUUAUUUUUUAUAUAUUCAUAUUUACACUGAUUGUACAAAACAUUAAGAACACCUUCCUAAUACUGAAUUGCCCCCCCCCCCCCUCUACCUGUGAAAAACACCCAGCAGCUCCUAGCACCUACUACCAUACCCUGUUCAAAGGCACUUCAAUCUGUUGUCUUGCCCAUUCACCGUCUGAAUGGCACACAUACACAAUCCAUGUCUCAAUUGUAUCGAGGCUUAAAAUUCCUUCUUUAACCUGUCUCUUCCCCUUCAUCUACACUGACUGAAAUGGUUUUAACAAGUGACAUCAAUAAGGGAUACAACUGGUCAGUCUGUCAUGGAAAGAGCAGGUGUUCUUAAUGUUUUGUACACUACUGCAAGAAUGUGCCUUUUGAAUAGAUUACAAACUUGUCAUACUUUAAACAGUUAUUCAUAUCCAGUGGUGGAAAAAGUACCCAAUUGUCAUACUUGAGUAAAAUGAUAGAUACCUUAAUAGAAAGUUACUCAAGUGCAAGUCACCCAGGAAAAUACUAAGUAUUUGGUUCUAAAUAUACUUAAGUAUCAAAAGUAAAAGUGUACAUCAUUUCAAAUUCCUUAUAUUAAGCAAAGCAGACUGUACCAUUUUCUUGUUUUAAAAAUGUAGGUUAGCCAGGGGCACUCUCCAACACUGACAUUAUUUACAAACGAUGCAUUUGUGUUAGUUAGCUUGCCAGAUCAGAGGCAGAGGGAUGACCCCGUGUUCUCUUGAUAAGUGUGUGAAUUGGACCAUUUUUCUGUCCUGCUAAGCAUUCAAAAUGUGAUUAGUAUUUUUGGGUGUCAGGGUAAAAGUAAGUUGUCAAAAAUAUAAAUCGUAAAGUACAGACCACAUAAAAAUACUUUAAAGUACUACUUAAGUACUUUACACCGCUGUUCAAAUCUGUCCUGCUGCUGUUGGCAAAGUUUUCUUUGUUCUAUUUUUGUAAGAGCUUUAUGUACACAGACACCAUGAGUGUCUCUCUUUUUAUUAUGUUUAACAUGGGAUAUAUUGCACAUUUGAUAACGCACACUAAUUGCAUCCUUUGGGGAAACGGUUAGAUCUGCUUUCCAAACAGUCAAUAGUUUGGUAAUGGUGAUUACUUAAACAUCUUUGAUUUCUGGAAGGUGGUUUGGCACGUUAUAGAAAGUCGGUCAUUUUUAAAUGUCAAAGAUUUCAUUGGACAUUCAGUAAGCAUUACUCGUUGAAUAUUUAGGCACUGUGUGCACGUACAACAUGAGUAUGAAAAUGUUUGAAAUGUAAUUGUAACACAAAGAUGUGAUGAAAAAUAUUAGUUAUUGAUUCUGUGCUGGUAAGUUUUCAUUCUUUAGAUGUCACUGUCUCAUUAUCAAUGCAAAAUGUGUUUUGCUUUUUACUUUUGAUUUACAGUAGUCUGACAAUAAAAGUUGACAUUACAUCA